rnacentral:rRNA from 1 species
AACGAACGCUGGCGGCAUGCCUAACACAUGCAAGUCGAACGAGACCUUCGGGUCUAGUGGCGCACGGGUGCGUAACGCGUGGGAACCUGCCUUUAGGUUCGGAAUAACUCAGAGAAAUUUGAGCUAAUACCGGAUGAUGUUUUCGGACAAAAGAUUUAUCGCCUUUAGAUGGGCCCGCGUUGGUUUAGCUAGUUGGUGGGGUAAAGGCCUACCAAGGCGACGAUCCAUAGCUGGUCUGAGAGGAUGAUCAGCCACACUGGGACUGAGACACGGCCCAGACUCCUACGGGAGGCAGCAGUGGGGAAUAUUGGACAAUGGGCGAAAGCCUGAUCCAGCAAUGCCGCGUGAGUGAUGAAGGCCUUAGGGUUGUAAAGCUCUUUUACCCGAGAUGAUAAUGACAGUAUCGGGAGAAUAAGCUCCGGCUAACUCCGUG